rnacentral:tRNA from 1 species
GCUAGCGUGGCCGAGGGGUCUAAGGCGCUGGAUUUAGGCUCCAGUCUCUUCGGGGGCGUGGGUUCAAAUCCCACCGCUGCCA